rnacentral:misc_RNA from 1 species
GAUGAAGAACGCAGCGAAAUGCGAUAAGUAAUGUGAAUUGCAGAAUUCAGUGAAUCAUCGAAUCUUUGAACGCACAUUGCGCCCGCCAGUAUUCUGGCGGGCAUGCCUGUCUGAGCGUCAUUUCAACCCUCAUGCCCCUAGGGCGUGGUGUUGGGGAUCGGCCAAAGCCCGCGAGGGACGGCCGGCCCCUAAAUCUAGUGGCGGACCCGUCGUGGCCUCCUCUGCGAAGUAGUGAUAUUCCGCAUCGGAGAGCGACGAGCCCCUGCCGUUAAACCCCCAACUUUCCAAGGUUGACCUCAGAUCAGGUAGGAAUACCCGCUGAACUUAAGCAUAUCAAUAACCGGAGGA